rnacentral:lncRNA from 1 species
CCUCCUCGCCCGCACCGGCGGACGCCGCGUCGCUAUUGGCCCAAUUGCAUCACGUGGGCCGUCGCGCCG